UUAAGCGACUAAGCGUACACGGUGGAUGCCCUGGCAGUCAGAGGCGAUGAAGGACGUGCUAAUCUGCGAUAAGCGUCGGUAAGGUGAUAUGAACCGUUAUAACCGGCGAUUUCCGAAUGGGGAAACCCAGUGUGAUUCGUCACACUAUCAUUAACUGAAUUCAUAGGUUAAUGAGGCGAACCGGGGGAACUGAAACAUCUAAGUACCCCGAGGAAAAGAAAUCAACCGAGAUUCCCCCAGUAGCGGCGAGCGAACGGGGAGGAGCCCAGAGCCUGAAUCAGUGUGUGUGUUAGUGGAAGCGUCUGGAAAGGCGCGCGAUACAGGGUGACAGCCCCGUACACAAAAAUGCACAUACUGUGAGCUCGAUGAGUAGGGCGGGACACGUGGUAUCCUGUCUGAAUAUGGGGGGACCAUCCUCCAAGGCUAAAUACUCCUGACUGACCGAUAGUGAACCAGUACCGUGAGGGAAAGGCGAAAAGAACCCCGGCGAGGGGAGUGAAAAAGAACCUGAAACCGUGUACGUACAAGCAGUGGGAGCCUCUUAAUGGGGUGACUGCGUACCUUUUGUAUAAUGGGUCAGCGACUUAUAUUCUGUAGCAAGGUUAACCGAAUAGGGGAGCCGAAGGGAAACCGAGUCUUAACUGGGCGUUAAGUUGCAGGGUAUAGACCCGAAACCCGGUGAUCUAGCCAUGGGCAGGUUGAAGGUUGGGUAACACUAACUGGAGGACCGAACCGACUAAUGUUGAAAAAUUAGCGGAUGACUUGUGGCUGGGGGUGAAAGGCCAAUCAAACCGGGAGAUAGCUGGUUCUCCCCGAAAGCUAUUUAGGUAGCGCCUCGUGAACUCAUCUCCGGGGGUAGAGCACUGUUUCGGCAAGGGGGUCAUCCCGACUUACCAACCCGAUGCAAACUGCGAAUACCGGAGAAUGUUAUCACGGGAGACACACGGCGGGUGCUAACGUCCGUCGUGAAGAGGGAAACAACCCAGACCGCCAGCUAAGGUCCCAAAGUCAUGGUUAAGUGGGAAACGAUGUGGGAAGGCCCAGACAGCCAGGAUGUUGGCUUAGAAGCAGCCAUCAUUUAAAGAAAGCGUAAUAGCUCACUGGUCGAGUCGGCCUGCGCGGAAGAUGUAACGGGGCUAAACCAUGCACCGAAGCUGCGGCAGCGACGCUUAUGCGUUGUUGGGUAGGGGAGCGUUCUGUAAGCCUGCGAAGGUGUACUGUGAGGUAUGCUGGAGGUAUCAGAAGUGCGAAUGCUGACAUAAGUAACGAUAAAGCGGGUGAAAAGCCCGCUCGCCGGAAGACCAAGGGUUCCUGUCCAACGUUAAUCGGGGCAGGGUGAGUCGACCCCUAAGGCGAGGCCGAAAGGCGUAGUCGAUGGGAAACAGGUUAAUAUUCCUGUACUUGGUGUUACUGCGAAGGGGGGACGGAGAAGGCUAUGUUGGCCGGGCGACGGUUGUCCCGGUUUAAGCGUGUAGGCUGGUUUUCCAGGCAAAUCCGGAAAAUCAAGGCUGAGGCGUGAUGACGAGGCACUACGGUGCUGAAGCAACAAAUGCCCUGCUUCCAGGAAAAGCCUCUAAGCAUCAGGUAACAUCAAAUCGUACCCCAAACCGACACAGGUGGUCAGGUAGAGAAUACCAAGGCGCUUGAGAGAACUCGGGUGAAGGAACUAGGCAAAAUGGUGCCGUAACUUCGGGAGAAGGCACGCUGAUACGUAGGUGAAGCCCCUUGCUCGUGGAGCUGAAAUCAGUCGAAGAUACCAGCUGGCUGCAACUGUUUAUUAAAAACACAGCACUGUGCAAACACGAAAGUGGACGUAUACGGUGUGACGCCUGCCCGGUGCCGGAAGGUUAAUUGAUGGGGUUAGCGGUAACGCGAAGCUCUUGAUCGAAGCCCCGGUAAACGGCGGCCGUAACUAUAACGGUCCUAAGGUAGCGAAAUUCCUUGUCGGGUAAGUUCCGACCUGCACGAAUGGCGUAAUGAUGGCCAGGCUGUCUCCACCCGAGACUCAGUGAAAUUGAACUCGCUGUGAAGAUGCAGUGUACCCGCGGCAAGACGGAAAGACCCCGUGAACCUUUACUAUAGCUUGACACUGAACAUUGAGCCUUGAUGUGUAGGAUAGGUGGGAGGCUUUGAAGUGUGGACGCCAGUCUGCAUGGAGCCGACCUUGAAAUACCACCCUUUAAUGUUUGAUGUUCUAACGUUGGCCCCUAAUCGGGGUUGCGGACAGUGUCUGGUGGGUAGUUUGACUGGGGCGGUCUCCUCCUAAAGAGUAACGGAGGAGCACGAAGGUUGGCUAAUCCUGGUCGGACAUCAGGAGGUUAGUGCAAUGGCAUAAGCCAGCUUGACUGCGAGCGUGACGGCGCGAGCAGGUGCGAAAGCAGGUCAUAGUGAUCCGGUGGUUCUGAAUGGAAGGGCCAUCGCUCAACGGAUAAAAGGUACUCCGGGGAUAACAGGCUGAUACCGCCCAAGAGUUCAUAUCGACGGCGGUGUUUGGCACCUCGAUGUCGGCUCAUCACAUCCUGGGGCUGAAGUAGGUCCCAAGGGUAUGGCUGUUCGCCAUUUAAAGUGGUACGCGAGCUGGGUUUAGAACGUCGUGAGACAGUUCGGUCCCUAUCUGCCGUGGGCGCUGGAGAACUGAGGGGGGCUGCUCCUAGUACGAGAGGACCGGAGUGGACGCAUCACUGGUGUUCGGGUUGUCAUGCCAAUGGCACUGCCCGGUAGCUAAAUGCGGAAGAGAUAAGUGCUGAAAGCAUCUAAGCACGAAACUUGCCCCGAGAUGAGUUCUCCCUGACUCCCUGAGAGUCCUGAAGGAACGUUGAAGACGACGACGUUGAUAGGCCGGGUGUGUAAGCGCAGCGAUGCGUUGAGCUAACCGGUACUAAUGAACCGUGAGGCUUAACCUU
rnacentral:rRNA from 1 species